AAGUCGUAACAAGGUUUCCGUAGGUGAACCUGCGGAAGGAUCAUUAACACGUUUCAACGUUAUUCACACUCUGUGCAUGCUGUUUCGAUCAACUCUAUUCUGUAACAGAUACUGUUGGCCCAAUCUCAUCAUCAUACUCUUGUUCGAAUAUAGAUCAAGUUGUAUGAGAGGAGGAUGAGGAGAGGUGGAGUGAUGAUCAUUCAUCAUUCUCACUCUCUUUGUUUUCUCCUCGUUUCUAUAAACACCCCUCAAUCCAACCUAAUGUUAGUAGGCUUUCUAUUGAAGGAUUGAUAUCAUCAUGAUUUCAUUCAUCUUCUCUCAUUCUAAGCAAAUACAACUACAACUCUUAGCCAUGGAUGUCUAGGUUCUC
rnacentral:misc_RNA from 1 species